GAUGAACGCCGGCGGUGUGCCUAAUACAUGCAAGUCGUACGCACUGGCCCAACUAAUUGAUGGUGCUUGCACCUGAUUGACGAUGGAUCACCAGUGAGUGGCGGACGGGUGAGUAACACGUAGGUAACCUGCCCCGGAGCGGGGGAUAACAUUUGGAAACAGAUGCUAAUACCGCAUAACAACAAAAGCCGCAUGGCUUUUGUUUGAAAGAUGGCUUUGGCUAUCACUCUGGGAUGGACCUGCGGUGCAUUAGCUAGUUGGUAAGGUAACGGCUUACCAAGGCGAUGAUGCAUAGCCGAGUUGAGAGACUGAUCGGCCACAAUGGAACUGAGACACGGUCCAUACUCCUACGGGAGGCAGCAGUAGGGAAUCUUCCACAAUGGGCGCAAGCCUGAUGGAGCAACACCGCGUGAGUGAAGAAAGGUUUCGGCUCGUAAAGCUCUGUUGUUGGAGAAGAACGUGCGUGAGAGUAACUGUUCACGCAGUGACGGUAUCCAACCAGAAAGUCACGGCUAACUAC
rnacentral:rRNA from 1 species